UACGUAGGUGGCAAGCGUUGUCCGGAUUUAUUGGGCGUAAAGGGAGCGCAGGCGGUGACUUAAGUCUGAUGUGAAAGCCCACGGCUCAACCGUGGAAGGUCAUUGGAAACUGGGUCACUUGAAUAUAGAAGAGGAAAGUGGAAUUCCAUGUGUAGCGGUGAAAUGCGUAGAUAUAUGGAGGAACACCAGUGGCGAAGGCGACUUUCUGGUCUAUUAUUGACGCUGAGGCUCGAAAGCGUGGGGAGGCAAACAGGAUUAGAUACCCU
rnacentral:rRNA from 1 species